CAUUGAAAGCUCAACGAGCAGAGUGUAAGCAUCAAACAAAACGCUACCAAAAAGGCAGCCAACCAACCAACCAACCAGCCAUCUAUCCAGCCACAAUGUGACAAAGGCCAAAGUGAAAAAAGAAGUGAAACAGAAAAGGCCAACACUCACUCCAUACACAAGCCAAGUUUCGAAGACACAGUUCAAGUUUCGAAUCGAAUCGCAGUUGUAAUAAAUUUCAAAUAAUUCCAAAUAAAUAUCCAGUGCAAAAAAUAGAAAAUGUAAAAAAAUGAAAAAUUUUAUGGGAAAAACAUCCAAAGUGGCAAAAAAAGUACAGUUUCUGGAAAAUGCGGAAAAGUGAAAAAUCACAAAAACAAAACAAACAAACAAAUGACAUCAACCAUCUCCGAUUUGUUGCCAUUCAGAUUUAUAAUGUCAAUUAAAUAAUUUAUGACAAACAAAAUUGGAAUGAAACAAACAAACCGACCGUCCGUCCGUCCAACAAAAAUGUGAAUGAAAGUGUUUGAAGCCAAUCAUUGAAGAAUGUAUCUGUAUGCAAACGUAUGUCUCUGUGUGUGUAUAUCUCGAACCAUUGUGAAAUAAUACAAAUCCCAGGUAUUACCAGAAAAAUGCAAAUUUCAAAUUAAAUUAAUUUUUAAUUGCUCAAUAAAACCUGUGGCCCAUCACAUCAAUGCCAGCAGUAUACGGAGAUGAAAUGAGUAUACCCAGAGAUCCAGUUGAUUGAUGCUUGAUGACUGUACAAAAUUAUGUUGAUGGGAGAAAAAGAAGAAGAAAAAACACAA
rnacentral:sRNA from 1 species